AGCGAACGCUGGCGGCAGGCUUAACACAUGCAAGUCGAGCGGGCAUCCUUGUGGUGUCAGCGGCAGACGGGUGAGUAACGCGUGGGAACGUGCCCUUCGGUUCGUAAUAACUCAGGGAAACUUGAGCUAAUACCGGAUACGUCCGAAAGCAGAAAGGUUUAUCUGCCGAAGGAUCGGCCCGCGUCUGAUUAGCUAGUUGGUGAGGUUAUGGCUCACCAUGGCGACGAUCAGUAGCUGGACUGAGGGGAGGAUCAGCCACACUGGGACUGAGACACGGCCCAGACUCCUACGGGAGGCAGCAGUGGGGAAUAUUGGACAAUGGGGGCAACCCUGAUCCAGCCAUGCCGCGUGAGUGAUGACGGCCUUAGGGUUGUAAAGCUCUUUUCUCCGGGACGAUAAUGACGGUACCGGACGAAUAAGCCCCGGCUAACUUCGUG
rnacentral:rRNA from 1 species